AAAAUCGGUAAUUGAUGAUUUUGACGUCUAUUUUCUAACGAACUUCGUUAAUCGAUUCUUGAACUACCGAAGUUCGUUUAGAAACGUGUAAACAAAUCGGUUUGUCAUCAUUUUUUCGGUAAAAAACGCCGAGUAAACUGUAAAACAAUCCUGCUGUCAUAUGCCGCUGUCAAAACUUACGUCAAACCCCGUCUCACUCUCACAGCCGUGAUUAGUUAAUCGCAUCUCGCUUUCGCUCAAGAAAAGCUAGUCGUCUCGAGUUUUCCCUUGUACGCGAGCGGGAUGUCUUGCAUCAAGCAGCCGUUGAUCAGUUGCGAGCAAAAAAAGCGCAAUGCACGCAAGCGGAAUAGUUUUUUUUUUGUUUUCACGUAGCAGCAUCGGGAGCUUCAUCUUCAUCAUCACCCAUCCCACCAGCAGCAGUAAUCGUAGAUUGGAGCCGUUCAAUGUACAGCUGCUGGUCGGUGAAAUGAUUAAUCCUCAAAAGCAACAACUAGCGUUUCCGGACCAGUACUUAAAUAAGUAGUCAUGGUACCAACAGUUUCAUCAGCAUCAUUUGACGGGUCGCAGAAACACUAUUUUUAUUCAACCGGGUUGCAUAAAUGGAGGAACAAUCCAUCCGACGGACGAAAGCAACCAAGUCUUUGGUCACCCAUCCAUAACAAAAAAAAACCCUUUAAUUCUAUUCUGA